rnacentral:rRNA from 1 species
UACAGAGGUCUCAAGCGUUGUUCGGAAUUACUGGGCGUAAAGGGUGCGCAGGCCGCGCGGGCAGUCAAUUGUGUAAUUCAGGGGCUCAACCCCUGGACUGCGCUUGAUACUUCCGUGCUAGAGCUUUGGAGAGGAGUCUGGAAUUCUCGGUGUAGCAGUGAAAUGCGUGGAUAUUGAGAAGAACACUUAGGGCGAAGGCAAGACUCUGGACAAAUGCUGACGCUCAUGCACGAAGGCUAGGGUAGCGAACGGG